rnacentral:rRNA from 1 species
CCUACGGGUGGCAGCAGUGGGGAAUAUUGGACAAUGGGGGGAACCCUGAUCCAGCCAUGCCGCGUGUGUGAAGAAGGCCCUCGGGUUGUAAAGCACUUUCAGUGAGGAAGAACGCCUGGUGGUUAAUACCCAUCAGGAAAGACAUCACUCACAGAAGAAGCACCGGCUAACUCCGUGCCAGCAGCCGCGGUAAUACGGAGGGUGCGAGCGUUAAUCGGAAUUACUGGGCGUAAAGCGCGCGUAGGUGGCUUGAUAAGCCGGUUGUGAAAGCCCCGGGCUCAACCUGGGAACGGCAUCCGGAACUGUCAAGCUAGAGUGCAGGAGAGGAAGGUAGAAUUCCCGGUGUAGCGGUGAAAUGCGUAGAGCUCGGGAGGAAUACCAGUGGCGAAGGCGGCCUUCUGGACUGACACUGACACUGAGGUGCGAAAGCGUGGGUAGCAAACAGGAUUAGAUACCCUAGUAGUC